rnacentral:rRNA from 1 species
AUACGUAAGGGGGCAAGCGUUGUCCGAUUCACUGGCGUAAGCGCGCGCAGCGUGAUGUAGUCUGAGUGAAUCCGAGCUCAACUUCGGGACUGCCUGGAUACUGCGUCACUGAGGAUAGGAGAGGCAAGGGGAAUUCCACGUGUAGCGUGAAAUGCGUAGAGAUGUGGAGGAACACCUGUGGCGAAGGCGCCUUGCUGGCCUAUUUCUGACGCUGAGGCGCGAAAGCGUGGGGAGCAAACAGGAUUAGAUACCCUGGUAGUCCACGCUGUAAACGAUGAGUGCUAGGUGUAGGUGGGCUCAUACCCAUCUGUGCCGAAGCUAACGCAUUAAGCACUCCGCCUGGGGAGUACGGUCGCAAGACUGAAACUCAAAGGAAUUGACGGGGGCCCGCACAAGCAGUGGAGCAUGUGGUUUAAUUCGAAGCAACGCGAAGAACCUUACCAGGACUUGACAUCCCAUAGACCAGUCUAGAGAUAGACUUUUCUUCGGGGCUGUGGUGACAGGUGGUGCAUGGUUGUCGUCAGCUCGUGUCGUGAGAUGUUGGGUUAAGUCCCGCAACGAGCGCAACCCUUACUUUGUGUUGCCAGCAUUCAGUUGGGCACUCACAAGGGACUGCCGCCGAUAAGGCGGAGGAAGGUGGGGAUGACGUCAAAUUAUCAUGCCCCUUAUGUCCUGGGCUACACACGUGCUACAAUGGGCGGUACAACGGGAUGCGAAGCCGCGAGGUGGAGCCAAACCCUGAAAACCGUUCGUAGUUCGGAUUGUAGGCUGCAACUCGCCUACAUGAAGCCGGAAUUGCUAGUAAUCGCGGAUCAGCAUGCCGCGGUGAAUCCGUUCCCGGGCCUUGUACACACCGCCCGUC